rnacentral:rRNA from 1 species
AAUCAACGCUGGCGGCGUGCCUCAGACAUGCAAGUCGAACGCGAAAGUCCCCUUCGGGGGACGAAGUAGAGUGGCGCACGGGUGAGUAACACGUAGGUAAUCUACCUUCGGAUGGGGAAGUAACAACCGGAAACGGUUGCUAAUACCGCAUAAUGCAGCGGCACCUAAUGGUGACAGUUGUUAAAGCGGGGGAGUCGAAAGACCUCGCGUCUGAAGAGGAGCCUGCGGCGGAUUAGCUAGNGGUAAGGUAAUGGCUUACCAAGGCGACGAUCCGUAGCCGGCCUGAGAGGGCGGUCGGCCACACUGACACUGACAUACGGGUCAGACUCCUACGGGAGCAGCAGUCGGGAAUUUUGGGCAAUGGGCGAAAGCCUGACCCAGCAACGCCGCGUGAAGGAUGAAAUCCCUCGGGAUGUAAACUUCGCAAAGAACGGGAAGAAUAAGUAGGGGACAACUACCCCCUAUGAUGACGGUACCGUUUGUAAGCUCCGGCUAACUCCGUGCCAGCAGCCGCCGUAAC